UGCAUCCCGAUGAUUACCUGUGCUCCUUAUUUAUACCUCUGGCAAACGCUUCGUCGUUGCCUGAGCUUUACCUUAGCUAACAUUACUUACCUUAUUUGACUUAACGUGCAUUACCUUACCUACAUAACCCGUAACAGCCGUUUAUUCUUGUUGGUGCAUAAUUCUCUGGACUGUAGAUGAAUCUGGUUCAUAAACCUGUUUCUUCCAAGAAGUGCUAAUGCCAGACAGACCAUCAAUGAGUAUGCAGCAGGUCAUUACUGUAACACCUCCCAGGUAUGGGACAGUGUCGCAGUUAGUGAGUCCUCUGGAAAAGGAUGAAUAACUGAGACAAAGUAAAUGUGCUGAUGUUCAGUGCGGCUGCUCUCAUUGGAAUGAGAUGCAGAGGCAGUUCCCCAGUAGUCCAUAGUCCUCGCAGCACAUACAGGCUCACACUGCCACCUGCUGGCAGUACUACUGCUACUGCAUGUCAACUACGGAGGUGAAAAUGGCUGCUGAACUAGGUACUCUAACUUAUUAUAAAGCAUGAAAACAAAGAAACAAUGUGAUAUAUGUUGUGUAUGUCACACGGUUACUUCAUGUCCAUUCCUCUGUAUUUCACAUUAUCAUUUGCUUUUUAUUCACUGACAAAAUGUAAAAUAUUUUAUAGUUCUUGUUAGCAAGCAUUACUUUAGUUUUAGUUUUGUUUUCCUCUUGAACAAUACGUCAUCAGUGAAUGUUUUUUAUCAUAGUUUUCAUUGAUGAAUUUACACUGUAUUGUAUAGCUGCUGACUGUUGCAGCAGGCAAGCGCA